rnacentral:rRNA from 1 species
AUUGAACGCUGGCGGCAUGCUUUACACAUGCAAGUCGAACGGCAGCACAGAGAAGUUUCCUUCUUGGGUGUCGCGUGGCGCGCGUGUGAGUCAUAUAGCUGAACGUACUGAGUAAUGGGGGAUAACUAAUCGAAAGAUUACCUAAUACCGCAUAUUUUCUGAGGAGGAAAGCAGGGGACCUUCGGGCCUUUCUUUAUUCGAUCGGCCGAUAUCUGGUUAGCUAGUUGGUGGGGUAAAGGCCUACCAAGGCGACGAUCAGUAGCGGGUCUGAGAGGAUGAUCGGCCACACUGGGACUGAGACACGGCCCAGACUCCUACGGGAGGCAGCAGUGGGGAAUUUUCGACAAUGGGCGAAAGCCUGAUCCAGCAACGCCGCGUGUGUGAUGAAGGCCUUCGGGUUGUAAAGGACUUUUGUCAGGGAAGAACAGGCUGGUGAUAAUACCGACAGCUGAUGACGGUACCUGAAGAGUAAGCAACGGCUAACUACGUG